UACGUAGGGGGGAAGGGGUGGCCCGAGUUAGGGGGCGUAAAGGGUGCGUAGGUGGCCAACUAAGUCAAGUGUGAAAUUCCACGGCUCAACUGUGGGAGAGCGCUUGAAACUGGAUGGCUUGAGGUCAGGUCAGGAAGAUGGAAUUGUCAGUGUAGGGGUGAAAUCCAUAGAUAUUGGCAAGAACGCCAGUGGUGAAGACGCUCUUCUGGACUGAUACUGACACUGAGGCACGAAAGCCAGGGGAGCGAACGGG
rnacentral:rRNA from 1 species